ACCUCGGUGGUGUAGUGCUAGCAUGUGUCCCCGGUAUGGAUGGAACGCGGGUUCGAUUCCCGUGUGAGAUC